rnacentral:rRNA from 1 species
UACGUAGGGCGCAAGCGUUGUCCGGAAUUAUUGGGCGUAAAGAGCUCGUAGGCGGUCUAUCGCGUCGGCUGUGAAAACCCGGAGCUCAACUCCGGGCCUGCAGUCGAUACGGGCAAACUGGAGUGUUGCAGGGGAGACUGGAAUUCCUGGUGUAGCGGUGAAAUGCGCAGAUAUCAGGAGGAACACCGGUGGCGAAGGCGGGUCUCUGGGCCGAUACUGACGCUGAGGAGCGAAAGCGUGGGGAGCGAACAGG